UGUGGUGACUUCGUCAAUUUCAAGAUUCAAUCCGCCGGCUCAGUCUUCCGGAGGUGCUCAUAGGGGUAGGGGUGUGCGUGUGUGCGUUCAUAGGGGUGAGUGUAUGCGCGUGUAUGUGAGCGCAUGCGUUUGUACUGUGUUUCUCAAAAAAGAAAACAUAAUUUACA